rnacentral:lncRNA from 1 species
CAUAUCCGGCCUUUGCCGAAUACAUCCUAUCUGCCACACAUCCAGCGUGAGGUCCCUCCAGCUACAAGGUGGGCACCAUGGCGGAGAAGUUUGACUGCCACUACUGCAGGGAUCCCUUGCAGGGGAAGAAGUAUGUGCAAAAGGAUGGCCACCACUGCUGCCUGAAAUGCUUUGACAAGUUCUGGCCAACACCUGUGUGGAAUGCCGCAAGCCCAUCGGUGCGGACUCCAAGGUAACGGGCAUCCCCAUGUGCCAAUGGGA